GCUGGGUGUGGUGGUGUGUGCCUAUAGUCCCAGCUACUUGGGAGGCUGAGGCGGGAGGAUUGCUUGAGCCCAGGAGAUUGAGACUGCAGUGAGUCCUGAGUACACCACUGAACUCUAGCCUGGGCAACAGAGUGAGACUCUGUCUCAA
rnacentral:SRP_RNA from 1 species